UACGAAGGGGGCAAGCGUUGUUCGGAUUUACUGGGCGUAAAGGGCGCGUAGGCGGCGCGGUAAGUCACUUGUGAAAUCUCUGAGCUUAACUCAGAACGGCCAAGUGAUACUGCAGUGCUAGAGUGCAGAAGGGGCAAUCGGAAUUCUUGGUGUAGCGGUGAAAUGCGUAGAUAUCAAGAGGAACACCUGAGGUGAAGACGGGUUGCUAGGCUGACACUGACGCUGAGGCGCGAAAGCCAGGGGAGCAAACGGG
rnacentral:rRNA from 1 species